GAUUGAGAACAAUUUUUCGGGAACGAAAAAAGAAAUCAAUUCCACUGCCAUCAACUGCGUCCACAUCGACAUCGUCUGCAGUCAAUGAUGGUGCGGCAAUUCAGUUGACUCCUACAGAACUGGAAGAUAAAAUCAACUUCCUAAAGUUUGCAACCCCAGAUCAGAAGAGAGACAUUGUAGAAAAAACUAAAGAAACAUUUUUUGAUCGAAACCAAUACAGACAAGCAAAUUUAUGUGAAAAAUACCCCAGAUUUGUGGAUACUAAUGGAUUGAUUUCGUUAGAAUUCAGUUUAAUGUUUCCGAACAUUGAGGAAGACUGUCUCAUAAAGUCGUUUAAAAACCAUGUUCCAAUAAUAAAGGAAGUGUACGUUAAAACUGUGACUGUUCCUGACGUGACGCUAAUUCCGGGUGAAAACAACUGGGACAACACAACCUUAGCCCUGAUAACACUUGUGCACCUUAACCCCGGACAAAUUAAAAAAAGACUUACCGUUAAUGCAGCUGUGUCUCAUUUGAUAAUAUUUCAAAAUUGCGAAGAACCUCUGGAAGGUAUUUUGACACAGAAACCCACUACACAGCGAUUCAUUUUAGCCGUAGGCACUUCAAAAGCAACUAUUAGUAAGUGCUAUGUCGUUUUCGACAAAUAUAUAAUUGCCACGGGAAAUGAUAUUAUCGCAGCUUUCGAUGUUUGCUUUAAGGCGCACUAUGCUUUUAAUUUAAAAUUUGACCUA